UACGAAGGGGGCGAGCGUUGUUCGGAAUUACUGGGCGUAAAGGGCGCGUAGGCGGCCGAUCAAGUCAGAUGUGAAAGUCCUGGGCUUAACCUGGGGACUGCAUUUGAUACUGAUUGGCUUGAAUGCAGGAGAGGAUAGCGGAAUUCCCAGUGUAGAGGUGAAAUUCGUAGAUAUUCGGAAGAACACCAGUGGCGAAGGCGACUCACUGGACACGUAUUGACGCUGAGGUGCGAAAGCGUGGGGAGCAAACAGG
rnacentral:rRNA from 1 species